UACGUAGGGUGCAAGCGUUGUCCGGAAUUACUGGGCGUAAAGGGCGCGUAGGCGGCCACCGCAAGUCGGUUGUGAAAUCUCUGGGCUUAACCCAGAAAGGUCAACCGAUACUGCGGGGCUAGAGUGCAGAAGGGGCAACUGGAAUUCUCGGUGUAGCGGUGAAAUGCGUAGAUAUCGAGAGGAACACCGGUGGCGAAGGCGGGUCUCUGGGCAGUAACUGACGCUGAGGAGCGAAAGCGUGGGGAGCGAACAGG
rnacentral:rRNA from 1 species